GCCUUAGUGAGCCUGCACAGGGCGGCAUGCGCGAGAGUGGGGGCGCCCUCCCACUCUGUGCCAGCAGUACUUCAUUUACCAGAAUCCCAGCCCUGGGCCCCAAGGUUCAAGCCAGAAGCUUGGAGCCCUGCUGCUGUGUGAGAAGUAGACUCUGGGGACAGGAAUCCAUCCCUGCCAGUGUCACCUACAACCUGGCUCCUCAGCCUGAGACCAAGACCACUGUCCUGUAUCUGCUGAGGCCAAGCAGCCCAGAGACGGAGCAGAGUGGCAGGUGAUGGAGCCCGAGGCACCAGCUUAGCAGUGACACCGGGCGGAAGGAAGGGUGCACUGGGCCCCAGGGACCUGCUCACCACUCUCACCCCUGUGGGGAGGGGCAGAAGGCCUCAGUCAGCCGUUCCCUCCUGGGAGUCUCUGUCAGGACCUGAAUUCAAGACAGCUGGGACUACGAUUUUCAGCCCUCUUGAGUACUCGCCCACCUGGUAGCUCCGCUUCGUCCCCAACCGUCCCGGUAACAAGGGAUCCUGAAAUGUGCCUUCUGCCGCUGCCACCCGUGAGCCUGAGAGAGCUUGGAGCUGAGACUUCAGACUGUUACACAGCACAUCAUUCACUUUGUACGAAGUUCAAGAAUAGGCACAACUCACGCGCUGUCAGAAAUCCCAGCAGUAACCACCUCCUGGCUGGGGAGGGCAUUGCCUGGAGGGGAGCCAGGAGGGGUCUGUCCAUGGUGCUGAAACGCCCCAGGGCUGAACUUUC
rnacentral:lncRNA from 1 species